rnacentral:rRNA from 1 species
AUUGAACGCUGGCGGCAGGCCUAACACAUGCCAGUCGAGCGGAUGAAGGGAGCUUGCUCCUGGAUUCAGCGGCGGACGGGUGAGUAAUGCCUAGGAAUCUGCCUGGUAGUGGGGGAUAACGUCCGGAAACGGGCGCUAAUACCGCAUACGUCCUGAGGGAGAAAGUGGGGGAUCUUCGGACCUCACGCUAUCAGAUGAGCCUAGGUCGGAUUAGCUAGUUGGUGGGGUAAAGGCCUACCAAGGCGACGAUCCGUAACUGGUCUGAUAGGAUGAUCAGUCACACUGGAACUGAGACACGGUCCAGACUCCUACGGGAGGCAGCAGUGGGGAAUAUUGGACAAUGGUCGAAAGCCUGAUCCAGCCAUGCCGCGUGUGUGAAGAAGGUCUUCGGAUUGUAAAGCACUUUAAGUUGGGAGGAAGGGCAGUAAGUUAAUACCUUGCUGUUUUGACGUUACCAACAGAAUAAGCACCGGCUAACUUCGUG